GUCGAGCGGCGGACGGGUGAGUAAUGCUUAGGAAUCUGCCCAGUAGUGGGGGAUAGCCCGGGGAAACCCGGAUUAAUACCGCAUACGCCCUUUUGGGGAAAGCAGGGGAUCUUCGGACCUUGCGCUAUUGGAUGAGCCUAAGUCGGAUUAGCUAGUUGGUGAGGUAAUGGCCCACCAAGGCGACGAUCCGUAGCUGGUCUGAGAGGAUGAUCAGCCACAUCGGGACUGAGACACGGCCCGAACUCCUACGGGAGGCAGCAGUGGGGAAUAUUGGACAAUGGGGGCAACCCUGAUCCAGCCAUGCCGCGUGUGUGAAGAAGGCUUUCGGGUUGUAAAGCACUUUCAGUGAGGAGGAAGGCCUCAAAGUUAAUACCUUUGAGGAUUGACGUCACUCACAGAAGAAGCACCGGCUAACUCCGUGCCAGCAGCCGCGGUAAUACGGAGGGUGCAAGCGUUAAUCGGAAUUACUGGGCGUAAAGCGCGCGUAGGUGGUUGAGUAAG
rnacentral:rRNA from 1 species